rnacentral:rRNA from 1 species
UACGAAGGGUGCAAGCGUUACUCGGAAUUACUGGGCGUAAAGCGUGCGUAGGUGGUUCGUUAAGUCUGAUGUGAAAGCCCUGGGCUCAACCUGGGAAUGGCAUUGGAAACUGGCGACCUAGAGUGCGGUAGAGGGUAGUGGAAUUCCCGGUGUAGCAGUGAAAUGCGUAGAUAUCGGGAGGAACAUCUGUGGCGAAGGCGACACCCUGGACCAGCACUGACACUGAGGCACGAAAGCGUGGGGAGCAAACAGG